AGAGUUUGAUCAUGGCUCAGAUUGAACGCUGGCGGCAGGCUUAACACAUGCAAGUCGAACGAUGAAACUCUAGCUUGCUAGAGAAGAUUAGUGGCGGACGGGUGAGUAACAUUUAGGAAUCUGCCUAGUAGUGGGGGAUAGCUCGGGGAAACUCGAAUUAAUACCGCAUACGACCUACGGGUGAAAGGGGGCGCAAGCUCUUGCUAUUAGAUGAGCCUAAAUCAGAUUAGCUAGUUGGUGGGGUAAAGGCCCACCAAGGCGACGAUCUGUAACUGGUCUGAGAGGAUGAUCAGUCACACCGGGACUGAGACACGGUCCGGACUCCUACGGGAGGCAGCAGUGGGGAAUAUUGGACAAUGGGGGCAACCCUGAUCCAGCCAUGCCGCGUGUGUGAAGAAGGCCUUUUGGUUGUAAAGCACUUUGAGCAGGGAGGAGAGGCUAAUGGUUAAUACCCAUUAGAUUAGACGUUACCUGCAGAAUAAGCACCGGCUAACUCUGUGCCAGCAGCCGCGGUAAUACAGAGGGUGCGAGCGUUAAUCGGAAUUACUGGGCGUAAAGCGAGUGUAGGUGGCUCAUUAAGUCACAUGUGAAAUCCCCGGGCUUAACCUGGGAACUGCAUGUGAUACUGGUGGUGCUAGAAUAUGUGAGAGGGAAGUAGAAUUCCAGGUGUAGCGGUGAAAUGCGUAGAGAUCUGGAGGAAUACCGAUGGCGAAGGCAGCUUCCUGGCAUAAUAUUGACACUGAGAUUCGAAAGCGUGGGUAGCAAACAGGAUUAGAUACCCUGGUAGUCCACGCCGUAAACGAUGUCUACUAGCCGUUGGGGUCCUUGAGACUUUAGUGGCGCAGUUAACGCGAUAAGUAGACCGCCUGGGGAGUACGGCCGCAAGGUUAAAACUCAAAUGAAUUGACGGGGGCCCGCACAAGCGGUGGAGCAUGUGGUUUAAUUCGAUGCAACGCGAAGAACCUUACCUGGUCUUGACAUAGUGAGAAUCCUGCAGAGAUGCGGGAGUGCCUUCGGGAAUUCACGUACAGGUGCUGCAUGGCUGUCGUCAGCUCGUGUCGUGAGAUGUUGGGUUAAGUCCCGCAACGAGCGCAACCCUUUUCCUUAUUUGCCAGCGGGUUAAGCCGGGAACUUUAAGGAUACUGCCAGUGACAAACUGGAGGAAGGCGGGGACGACGUCAAGUCAUCAUGGCCCUUACGACCAGGGCUACACACGUGCUACAAUGGUAGGUACAGAGGGUUGCUACACAGCGAUGUGAUGCUAAUCUCAAAAAGCCUAUCGUAGUCCGGAUUGGAGUCUGCAACUCGACUCCAUGAAGUCGGAAUCGCUAGUAAUCGCAGAUCAGAAUGCUGCGGUGAAUACGUUCCCGGGCCUUGUAGA
rnacentral:rRNA from 1 species